rnacentral:rRNA from 1 species
UGGGGAAUAUUGGACAAUGGGCGAAAGCCUGAUCCAGCCAUGCCGCGUGUGUGAAGGAGGUCUUCGGAUUGUAAAGCACUUUAAGUUGGGAGGAAGGGCAGUAAGCGAAUACCUUGCUGUUUUGACGUUACCGACAGAAUAAGCACCGGCUAACUCUGUGCCAGCAGCCGCGGUAAUACAGAGGGUGCAAGCGUUAAUCGGAAUUACUGGGCGUAAAGCGCGCGUAGGUGGUUCGUUAAGUUGAAUGUGAAAGCCCCGGGCUCAACCUGGGAACUGCAUCCAAAACUGGCGAGCUAGAGUAGGGCAGAGGGUGGUGGAAUUUCCUGUGUAGCGGUGAAAUGCGUAGAUAUAGGAAGGAACACCAGUGGCGAAGGCGACCACCUGGGCUCAUACUGACACUGAGGUGCGAAAGCGUGGGGAGCAAACAGG